AUCCGUUUCUGCUGAGUAGGCAUGAAGGCAGCCUCCACCUCCCAAUCUCCACCCUAAGGUAAUUGCAGUCCAGCACUGAUGGGGCUUAUUCAAUCUAGCGAAUAACCCUCUUGUCUUCUCUCCCAACAUCUCUUCCUGUCCUUAGACCAGGAGACUGUGGCCGAUUUCUUGUUUCUCUCUGGCCACCAGGAGCCAAUCCAGUGGACCAUCUCAUCCUGGCCCCAAACAAGCACAGAGGUCCCUUUCUCCUCACAACUUGUCCACUGUGUGGCAAAUGUGAAGGAUGGAUUCCCCAGUUUCCACCCCAGAGGACUGGACUUUGGAGAGAGAGUCAGAAAACAUUGGAAGAAGUGAACUCAAGAUCCACCUUGGUCUUCAAAUGGCCAGUGGAUUACACCAACGCCCUUGCUACAACUCUCCUUCGGUGUUUUGAGAUGUCACCUUGAGAAUCUACUGAAGGCCCGCCUGUAGGUGGAACUGUGUAAGAACUCUUUUUUCCAAAGCUUCCAAAAUGUUGAUAUGUGUUGGCGUACCUUGUUUCUCGUAGACUCCUUCUUAGAGCCUGAAUCAGUGGACCCAGAUACAGGAACCUGCACUUUUGACAAUCUCUCCAGUUGCUUUCUUUCCAUUAAUCCAGUGGUUCUUAACUGUUGGCUGCUGGUUAUAAUAAUCUAAAGAGCACUUACAAACUGGGAAGCCCAGGCCACACUUCAUCUAGACUAGUGAGAUCAGCAUCUCUGAGAGAGGCCUGUGAAUUUGUAUUUUUCUUAAGCUCUAGGGUGACUCCAACCUACAAUCAAAAGCACGGUGUUAACCUGUGAAACGCACUUCACCCUGUUUAAUUACUGCAGCUUUAUUUUGUAAUUUACUGGUUGAAACAGCAAGCUUGUCGUUCUUUUCUUUUUUGUUUGUUCUGCUACUGCUAUUACUGUAGGUUUGGUUAAUUUGUAAUUGUCGUUACAGCUUCUGAUGUUUAUUCUUGGAAGUAGAUUUUAUAAUAAUCAGUUUCCAAAAAACGUUUUCUUUCUUAGAAUAGAUUGAAUGGAUACAAUGAAGUUUAGCUUCCUGAACUUGGGCAGAUUUCUGAAAAAUCUGUGAUCUUCAGCUUCAUGAUCUAUCAAUCAUCAAUGUCAGUACUUGCCAGUACCCCAGAUCCAACAGCAUUGUCCCUGG
rnacentral:lncRNA from 1 species